AGCAGUAGAUUUCUUCUUCUACAUACUGAGUUCUUCUUUUGGUUCUCCGGCACUGCCACCACCACCAUUACCACCAGGAUCUAUACCUUCAUUUGCUUCUCCUUAUUCUUUUCCUUUUGAGUUGGUCGUGAAGGGAUUUGUUAAAACUUCAAGAGGAAAAUAUUGUAGUUCUUCGAAGAGAACUCAGGUGGUCAUUGUCGUAAAGGAACAACGCCAACCUUCAGUAUAUCUGCUACAAAAAGGAUGGUCACCCUUCUGUAUAUGGAAAGAACUAUAGGACUUAUUGAUAACAAGCUGCAUCUCUGCAGCGCUGAGGACACUGGCGCGAUGUAUACUAAGGGAUUUUCCAGGAUCGGCACUAUCAAACAAGUGAAUUGACUGAGCUUGGCCAUACUGACAGAGAUUUGCGUUCGCUGCUCCUCACCCAACACCCGCUAUAGUAUUCCCUCAUGUAGCAGCGACAUGGUGGCUAGAACAGCGAUCCAGAUCGGAAGCACAAAAAGCACGAUGUGAGAACAACUCACAGUGAUGGCUAUCACGGACAACAAAACAAUACACGGAUCUCGCUCAACUGCUCAGAAAGCACGCCAAAGUAGGAUAGCACAACAACGCCCGGAGGAGAAGGAUGAGAACCAGAUGAUUACAGAAUAUUCAAGGAGAAGAUGAUAUAGUAAGAUGAUGCAUAAAGAAGAGCAAGUUGAGAAGUCAUUCGCUCAUUGCCACCCAAGUUUCCCGGGGAAGGAUGGAAAAGGCAAAGCAAGGGAGAUCACAAUGGUAAUCCCAAUUGAAGAAUGCAUUAGGAAACUUCAUUGAGAUGAUCAGGUAUCUGAAAAGUUUCAAGGUGUGGGGAACUUCUAAGAUGAAUCCCUGCCAACCACACUGAUUGCGAUAUAGAGAGAAUUAGCAAAAUUAAGAUGAAUCCCUAUAAAUGGCUAAAUUAUCGUUUCGGGAGAUGUUGAGGAAGGAUACUUGCAACAUCCAUCGCAUAUGCCCACCAUGAAAAAUUAUCGAAGGAUGAUGAAGGUUUUUCUUGUGUCUCUCUACUAUAAUCUGUUUCAUCAAUCAUUAUGCAUAUUUUAUCAGGACGUGAGGCAAAGGAAGAUUUGUCCUUGGUAAGAUGUAGAUGAUCAACCAAGUCAUGUUCUUUAGUGAAGUAAUAGUGUAAGAGGAAAGUGCAGGUAUGUAUUGUACUCCAUCCCUUUGGCUGUCUUAGCUCAACAAGUAGAGCGCAUGGCUUUAGUCAUGAGGUUGUGGGUUCGACUCCCGCAGACGGUGAACGAAUCAAGUCUUUGUGUAUUGAUAUUAUUCUUGGUGGUGGUUGGUGUUUUUGAGACUGCGCUCCGGCUGCGUGGUACAUAGAGCUGGCAAUCCGAGCCAAAACCCGCGGGUUGGCCCGUCCCGUCCCGUGAAAACUCGUGCCCGUCCCGGAUCGUAACUACACAAGACGGGCGCGGGUUGUAUAAUUAGUGGCUUGUGAAGAAACGGGUUAACCCGUCCCGUCCCGUGCAACCCGCGGGUAACCCGGCUCGGUCCGCACCCACUGCCAUUUAGGCUGUUGCGUGUCACACAAUGACACAGUUAUCUGUUACGUGUCAUGUAACAUGUUCGUUCCUCUUCAUAUAAAAGGAAAAAACCCUAGCUCGCCUUCCUCUUCUUUCUUCCUCUUUUUUUCUUCUUCCCUGACCCUGCUGCAGCGCUGCUGAGUCUCCUACUCUCCUGAGUAAACUUCACAGAUUCACAGAAGUGACAGAAAAAUUAUUAGAUUCAUCUAAAGAUCAAAGACAGUCUUGAAGAGAAAUACAAGAGCGGAUUGAUUUUCUGGGCUCGUGAAGAUCGGAGGAAUACAACAACGAAUUGAUUUUCUGGGUUCGUGAAGAGUGAAUUGAUUUUCUGUUCGAUUAAUAAUAUAUUGGAGUUCUAGUGAAAUCUUUAAAUUUUGGUUUGAGCAGUUUGGAUAAGUGGUUGUCCCCUAAAUCUGGAAGAAUACCAUUGCUCUUUUUUCCAGCCUCGGGAGAAGUAGCACCAAUCUACAAGUACACUACACUAGUACUGGAAUAUGUUGCAACACAGGAACGUGGUGAUAAUGUAUUAACUGACUUGUCGGAGUUAGAUGAAUAUCUUGGCGAGACGUACAGAGGUUGUCUAAAUUCACUCGACAUCCUAAACUAUUGGAAGAACCAUGAACAACAAUAUCCAGUACUUUCAAGAAUGGCAGGGGAUAUUUUGUCAAUUCCUAUUUCAACCGUCGCAUCGGAGUCUGCAUUUAGCAUUGGAGGAAGGGUGAUUGAUCGAUUUCGCAGUUCCUUAUUACCUGAAAAUGCUGAGGCGUUAAUAACAACUCGUGAUUGGGAAUAUGGAAUUGGAAAAGAAGAUAUGGAUGAGGACAAUGUGAUUGUUGAAGAAGAUGUAUUAGGAUUUGAACCUGACGCAGUGGAGGAUGGGGCAGUGGAGGAUGUGGAGGAAAUUCAUAUUGAAUAGUUGGAGCAACUCAAAGAGAAUGUUUUUUGGACAGACAGUUAUUUAUCACUUACCAAUGUCUCCAAUUUGCAUAGAAAAGAGAUUGGAAUUUGGAGAUGUUUUUUUUGACAGUUCACACUUUUUUGAUUAACCACACAAUAUAUAUUUUGUGCAGGAAGUGGUUAUUAAUAUGGUACAGUCUCGGAGGUUUAUUUUCAUUGUUGGAAACUAUGUUUAUUUUCAUUGUUGGAAACUUGGAAAUAUCAUCAUGAUUCAUGAACUGUAAGUCUGUAAGUUGUAACUAAAGUACUUAAGUACUAAACUACUAAUGACUAGUAUAGUAGUAUCUGUGUUUCUUUAAAGGCAAAAUUAGUUUAGUUUUGUAA